AUAAGCUCUGAACACAAAGAGCUGCUAGCCGAUCUUCUUGACACCUAUCUACGAGAAAUCGCUGAACAUUUUCAUCGUGAAUACCUUCCCCAUGAAAACACAGGCCUGCCAAAAAACUGGGUAA